UUCGUCACUUUGCGUAAAAUGAUAAAACAGCCGUUAUAAGAAAAGGUACAUCAGCUAGAAUAUGUAAAGUAAAUUCACCAAGAUACUGUUAUGAUCUUAUGAAGAAAUGGCAGUAAUGUUCCAGUUUCAAACAAAAGUGUUUAAACAGAUACUUGCCAUUUUUGAAAUAUUUCAGAACAGCCCAAAACAUCAGUCUCUGGAUUCUUGGGUGAGUUAUUUUGUUUAGAACCUUUCUUCUUUCGAUAUCAGAAAAAAUAAUUUUGCCCAGUGCCUCUCUGUUUAACUGACCAUCCUCAAGAAAAACUUCAUUUCCAAAAGCAUCAUGAAUUUCCUUCCAAGCUUGCUGCCCAGGUUGGACAACUAGAGUGAAAUUACACAAGAACAUUUAUGAUAAAAUUUUAAACUGAUGGCUGAAUUAAAUGUAUGAUUUUUAUUUUUACUAAG